CCUACGGGAGGCAGCAGUGGGGAAUAUUGCACAAUGGGGGAAAGCCUGAUGCAGCGACGCCGCGUGAAUGAAGAAGGACUUCGUUUCGUAAAGCUCUAUCAGCAGGGACGAAAUACUGACCUUUAGCUAAGUAGACAGUUCCGGAGUACGACGCCCCAGCUACCUACGUGCCAGCAGCAGGGGUAAUACGUAGGGGGCAAGCGUUAUGCGGAUUUCGUGGGUGCAAAGGGGGAGUCGACGGUGGGGAAAGGCAGGAGUGAAAUGCCGGGGCUUAACGGGGGAAUUGCUUUUGAAACUGGCGAGCGAGAGUACGGGAGAGGAAAGCGGAAGUCCUAGUGUAGCGGUGAAAUGCGUAGAUAUUAGGAGGAACACCGGUGGCGAAGGCGGCUUACUGGACCGAAACUGACGCUGAGGCUCGAAAGUGUGGGGAGCAAACAGGAUUAGAUACCCUAGUAGUC
rnacentral:rRNA from 1 species